GAACGAAACAGAUAGCCGAACAGUUAGCGGUUAUCUGUCUAUCUAGCGUCGUGGCUAGGUACUGAUGAGUAGCGAAGA
rnacentral:hammerhead_ribozyme from 1 species